CCCAAAUAUUUUUUUCUUCAUUUUACAUUUUUGUUGUUGAAACCAACUCCAAAAGGUUGGAAAAGAGUUCCUACAAAGGUUUUGGACAGUGAUUUUAACCUUAAUGCCAAAAAACUUAACCCUUACCCUGGCCUUAAAAUCUAAUACUACUACAUUAAGGAAGCCCGGAAACCCCAAAUAUAUUUUUUUUCAUUUUUCAUUUUUUUUGGUCUAACUAACUCCAAAAGGUUGGAAAAGAGUUCCUACAAAGGUUUUGGACAGUGAUUUUAACCCUAAUGCCAAAAACCUUAAACCUUUCCCUAGUCCCAAAACCUAAUACCCGGGUAUUACUUUCAGGGAGCCCGAAAACCCCCAAUAAUUUUUUUUUCUUUUUCAUUUUUUUUGGUCUAACUAACUCCAAAAGGUUGGAAAAGAGUUCCUACAAAGGUUUUGGACAGUGAUUUUAACCCUAACGCCAAAAACCUUAAACCUUACCCUAGCCUUAAAAUCUAAUACCCGGGUAUUACCUUCAGGAAGCCCGAACACCCCAAAUAUUUUUUUCUUCAUUUUACAUUUUUGUUGGUGAAACCAACUCCAAAAGGUUGGAAAAGAGUUCCUACAAAGGUUUUGGACAGUGAUUUUAACCCUAACGCCAAAAACCUUAAAACUUACCAUAGCCCCAUAACCUAAUUCCCGGGUAUUACCUUCAGGAAGCCCGAACACCCCAAAUAUUUUUUUUUCAUUUUACAUUUUUGUUGGUGUAACCAACUCAGAAAGGUUGGAAAAGAGUUCCUACAAAGGUUUUGGACAGUGAUUUUAACCCUAAUGUCAAAAACCUUAAACCUUACCCUAGCCCCAAAACCUAAUACCUGGA